CACCCACCUGUGCGGGGGAGUGGGAGGUGGUCAGUGAGGGUCAGCCCCUUGCUCUGCACUGGGCUUUUCUCCUAAUAGGAAUGCCUGCCUGCUCUGCGCUCAGCCUAACUCGAUUCCUCCUUCCUUCCUUCCACCAUUGGUUCAGAAACUCCAGAUUUUCCCUAGUUGGUCCCAUCUGAGUGUUACCACAUGUUUCUCACUAGAUUAAACCCCACAAGUGUAGGCUUCCUGUUGUUUCUCCUGAAAAUUCCAAUACCUAGCACAUGGUGCCUGGCAGGUAGUAAGUAUCCGACAGAAGUGAACACCAAACGAAGUGAUCAUUUGUCUGUUCUGUGUGCCGUGCAGCACUGCAUAGGCUGACUCAGUCUAGUCUGUGAGCUAUGCAGAACUCCAGAACUGAAGGGGAUCUUAGACUUCACUUGUUUCACUUCACUUGUUUUUGCCACAUUUUAAUUACUUUCCUGGAUUUUUUCACUCUUCUCUGAACUGUAAACUCCCUGAAGACAGGGACAAUAUUUUCUCUUUUAACACAGGGUUUUGUGCAUGUGGGUCCCCACCUAACUCUUGGGUAAGCUUACCCUUCCAUCCACCCCCAAAAAAUAUGAGAUCCUCUACUGGGGCUGAAGGUGAUCCCCCCUCCUCCACCUCUUGCUCUUCAUCCCAGCAUCUGAGGAGCAGCGGCCCCAGCGCAGCCCUCUCCCCCUCCGCCGCGCCCCUGCUCUCCUCUCGUCAGGGCUCACUGCCAGGACCUGGAACGCGUGACUCCACAUCCCGAACGACACUCACUCUAGAAUCUCGUUGUACUCAAUGGUCUCUUCCAGGUUCUGAAGGUUGGGAUUGACACUGCGAAUUGCACGCAUGUAUGCCUUGAGCAGCUGAAUGUCUCGCUUCUGUUGGAGGGAAGGAGAACAAGGGAAAAUGGUUAAGACAGACAAUAGAUGAAAGACACGAUGAAGGAAAUCCAGAGGUCUGAGGCACAACCAGACUGGAAGCUUCAUGAAGACAGGGCUAGACUGCGUCAAUCCCAGCUGUACCCCAGGGCUUAGCGAAGUGCCUUCAAGGGAAGGCACGUGAUGAACAGUGAAUAAAUGAAUGUCACUGGUGGGAUGGUGAGGAACAAGGAGGGCUCCCGUCUGACUCGCUGCUGUGCACGGCGCACGCCGUGUUCCCGGCCCCACCUGCUCCGCCAGCUGGUGCCUGUGCUCCGCCGAGGCCUUCUCCAGCUCCGCGAUCCGCGUCUGCUGCUGCUGCACCACUGAGCGCAGGUGCUUGAUGCAGUUGUGGUUGGGCAGCUCAUCUUUGGGCAUCUCCAGGCUGCCACCGGGGCGGGAAAAGAACACGACAGGAGCGCUCGGUGAGACACGUGGGCACAGGCAGGCAGACACUUUACCACGGCCACCAGGGAAGCCCCAGAUAAGACGUCGCCGAACAGGAACUGAAACCCGCCGUGGACACCCAGCCAGUGGGCUACCUGGAGCAAGGAUGGGCACCUGAUACAAGCGUGGACAAUCACAGACCAGCCAUCAGGCCGUGACGUUCUGAGAAAGACGAGCUGAGUCACGAAGUUCUCAGAAAUUGGGAAUUAUGCUGUUCAGUUUACAAGAGGGGGGGAUGGGGGAUUUCCCUGGCAGUCCAGUGGGAGGACUUGGCGUUUUCACUGUGGUGGCCUGGGUCUGAUCUCAGGUCGUGGAACCAAGAUCUCUGAAGCUGCGGCUCAAAGGUAAACAAACAAACAAACAAAUAAAAAUAGAAAAUAAAAGGGCAGGGAAUGGAAUGGAUGCAGAGAGGCCUUGCUAGGUCAAGUACAAACUAAAGUACAGCAGUGGACUGACUUAAGACUGACUGGAUUUACAUCCCUAGUUCUACUACUCAUUAGCUGUGUGACCUUGGGCAGGCCAUGUACACUUCCUAAACCUCAAUGGCUUUUUAAAUAGAUGAAGUGGGUGGAUAAGAAAACGCAUGAGGAACACUGAGCAUGGUGUUCGCUGGCCACACCAGGCACUCGAUACAGAGUGACCACCAUUCGUGUGCACAACUGUGCCACGCGGCAUCUUAGUUCCUCACCAGGGGCCCUGACCACUGGACGGCCAGGGAGUUCAGUCCAGUUCAGUCACUCAGUCGUGUCUGACUCUUCCCAACACCAUGGACUGCAGCAUGCCAGGUCUCCCUGUCCAUCACCAACUCCCGCAGU